CACGUCAGCGCGAGUUGCUGACGUGGCAGUAAAUCGCGUCCUUGAGGGCGCGAUUUGUUGCCAUGUCAGCAACUCGCGCUGACGUGG
rfam:Gossypium raimondii Chr09_contig_795, whole genome shotgun sequence.